UACGUAGGGUGCGAGCGUUAAUCGGAAUACUGGGCGUAAAGCGUGCGCAGGCGGUGAUGUAAGACAGGUGUGAAAUCCCCGGGCUUAACCUGGGAACUGCAUUUGUGACUGCAUCGCUGGAGUGCGGCAGAGGGGGAUGGAAUUCCGCGUGUAGCAGUGAAAUGCGUAGAUAUGCGGAGGAACACCGAUGGCGAAGGCAAUCCCCUGGGCCUGCACUGACGCUCAUGCACGAAAGCGUGGGAGCAAACAGG
rnacentral:rRNA from 1 species